rnacentral:rRNA from 1 species
GACAGAGGCCUCAAGCGUUAGGCGGAAUCACUGGGCUUAAAGCGUGUGUAGGCGGAUGCCUAAGUACCUUGUGAAAUCCCACGGCUCAACCGUGGAACUGCUGGGUAUACUGGGCGUCUUGGGCCAUUCAGGGGCGACUGGAACAAGCGGUGGAGCGGUGAAAUGCGUAGAUAUCGCUUGGAACGCCGAAGGUGAAAACAGGUCGCUGGGGGAUGUGCCGACGCUGAGACACGAAAGCCAGGGGAGCAAACGGG